UCCGCCUCCUGGGUUCACCCCAUUCUCCUGCUUCAGUCUCCUGAGUAGCUGGGACUACAGAUGCCCGCCACCACGCCUGGCUAAUUUUGUUUUUGUACUUUUAGUAGAGAUGGGGUUUCACCGUGUUAGCCAAGAUGGUCUUAAUCUUCUGACCUUGUGAUCCGCCCACCUCGGCCUCCCAAAGUGUUGGGAUUACAGGCAGGAGCCACCGCACCUGGCCUCAACUUCUUUUUUAACUUAUGAAUUGUUUAUUUCCGGAAUUUUCCAUUUAAUAUUUUUGAACCACAGCUGACUGAGGGUCGACGUUUAUUUCUUUCUGAACUUUCCUGGAGGAUCAUCGGCCAUACUCCAGCAGAAGGGUGGAUUUGAAAAAAUAACGUUUCCACGGCAACAGUGGCAGCAAUUCAAAUUUGACUUGGGGAAGAAGAAGAAAAGAAGGUGGAUUUCAGCAUGAAAGAAUCUAAACAGUCAUUAGUGAACAAAUGUGUAGCAGUGCUGUCCAACAGAACUUUCUGAAGAAGUAAUGGGAAUACUCUGUAUCUGUGAUGUCCUGUAUGGUAGCCACUGGCCUCACACAGCUCUUGAGCACUUGAAAUGUGGCUACUGUGACUGAGUAAUUGAGUUUUAAAAUUUCAUCAAUUUUAAUUAAUUGAAAUUUAAAUAGCCACAUGAGGCCAGUGACUACAGAAUUGAACAGCACAGGUCUCACAGAUGGACUAAGAGUAAGCCAGUUACGAAGAAGCUUAUACAGGAAGACCGGCUAAAAUAUGUCAAAGGAGAGUUUCUCUUUCUGAACUCCGAGGAGCUGUUCAAAUAAGACUGGUCUGGAGAGAGUUUUGGGUGGCUGGAGGUAUUUUCACCCCUCCACUUACUGUGCCUAACCUUAGUAUUGUUGCCAUUCUCACGUUUCUGUAUGACUCCAUCUCCCUUGUUCUGUUCCGAUGCCGCUUUUUCAGUUUUUCUGAGCUCUCAAUUAAACACAGUGAAAUGAAUCUCCUCCAAGUGCCUUUUUAGUGACUAAACUGAAUAGUUGGCUCAGAAUGCUACAAAGUCCUCUCCCUCAGGAAGAACCAAGUUUUACCAUUAAGAUCCUGAUAGAUUUACCAGCUUUAACUGACACCUCUUGGGGUGGCUUCCAGAUUCACACUUUCUCCUUUUUGAGAAGACUCCCAGACACACGGGGAUAGGUCCUGAGUGAUCAUAUUUGAGCCACACAAUCUUGUUACGCUUGCUGUAGAUCCAUGGUUCAAAAACAUUCAAGUGUGUCUGACUCAGCUGGAGGACUUGUGAAGACACAUGUGGUGGGACCCAUCCCUAAAGCUUCUUUUCCAGUAGGUGUGUAGGUGUGGCCCAAGUAUCUGCAUAUCUAACAAGUUCUCAGGUGAUACUGAUGUUGCUGGUCUGGGGAUUGUACUUUAAGAUAAUUAAGUCAGGGACUGUUGCCUGACAUAGGACAAUAAGCUUCUCUCAGGAAUUUGAAAUUUGGAACAAAGAGCUCGGAGUCUUAGUGCUAGUAGACCAGUGCUCUGGAGAGGUCUGAAAACUACCACUGCUUAGGUUCCUAGUUUGUCCAGUUCCUGUUUGUCUUGAGCCUUGGUUGUCUAAUCCUUUGAAUAAAUCCCAUUACAUUCUUUGUUUUGCAUAAACUGGCCAUAGAAAGUUCUUGUUGUCUGCCC
rnacentral:lncRNA from 10 species